GUUGGGAACAAUAGAACCUUAUCUGCUCUCCACCAUACUUUAAUUGUUGUACAAGUUGGAUAUUUUGUGCAGUCGACUAGGUUCAAUGCUUGGGUUGGGUUUGUAAACCUGAGAGGAAUUGGGUGCAUGAAGGCCACAUAGGGUAGCUCAAGUAGUGAUGGCACUCUUGGAAACCCAUGUCCACUACAUGUUAAGCAAAUGCAGUGACAAUUGCCCAAUGUUCAGGUGUUUAAAGGGCAGCGAGCAAUGGAAAUCUCCUUUCUACCUCGAGCUCUACUCACAGACUACUGCAAUGGUGUGAGAUUCAUGUGUGCUUGCCAGGGUUAACCCUCUCCCUAGCCCCAGGGUAGCCCUGUCUAGAACUACGCGCGCCAACACCCAGUCUGGUGACCGCGCUCACCUGAGUGAUCACCUUGUCGUGGCUAGGCCGACUCAAGCAGGCAUUGGGGCAUGUCGUCGUGAUCUGGUGCUAUGGGCAGCUCCACCACAUACCAUACAACUCACGCUUUCCUCAAUCAACCUCGCGCGAGCACCGUGAUCUAUGUAAUCAGGAGUAUUCUAGAUGUCCCUGUGGCUGGAAGAUGCUUCUAGUCUUGAAGGAGGAUUAGUUAGGUUUAUGUAUGAGCUUUGGAAGGGAUCUACCUUCCUACUUUUGUAUGUAAGUUAUGCACUUUGAGUAUAUCAGGACUUGUAAUAAUUAUAAAUCUUUCUAGCAUGUAAAACUUGAGUUUUGGAAUAAAGAAUGUUUUGUAAA